AUCUUUUUAGUAUAAAUUUACUACAAAUGACUUCCAAUCAUUUAAUCUUGGUUAAACCCCAAGAAAAGAUA
rnacentral:tRNA from 1 species